GAUGAACGCUAGCGGGAGGCCUAACACAUGCAAGCCGAGCGGUAGAGUCUCUUCGGAGACUUGAGAGCGGCGCACGGGUGCGGAACACGUGUGCAACCUGCCUUUAUCUGGGGGAUAGCCUUUCGAAGGGAAGAUUAAUACCCCAUAAUAUACUGGAUGGCAUCAUCUGGUAUUGAAAACUCCGGUGGAUAGAGAUGGGCACGCGCAAGAUUAGAUAGUUGGUGAGGUAACGGCUCACCAAGUCAGCGAUCUUUAUGGGGCCUGAGAGGGUGAUCCCCCACACUGGUACUGAGACACGGACCAGACUCCUACGGGAGGCAGCAGUGAGGAAUAUUGGACAAUGGGUGAGAGCCUGAUCCAGCCAUCCCGCGUGAAGGACGACGGCCCUAUGGGUUGUAAACUUCUUUUGUAUAGGGAUAAACCUAGAUACGUGUAUCUAGCUGAAGGUACUAUACGAAUAAGCACCGGCUAACUCCGUG
rnacentral:rRNA from 1 species